GACGAACGCUGGCGGCAUGCCUAACACAUGCAAGUCGAACGAGACCUUCGGGCCUAGUGGCGCACGGGGGCGUAACGCGGGGGAACCUGCCCUUAGGUUCGGAAUACCUCCCCGAAGGGUGUGCUAAUACCGGAUAAUGUCUUCGGACCAAGGAUUUAUCGCCUUUGGAUGGGCCCGCGUUGGAUUAGCUAGUUGGUAGGGUAAAAGCCUACCAAGGCGACGAUCCAUAGCUGGUCUGAGAGGAUGAUCAGCCACACUGGGACUGAGACACGGCCCAGACUCCGACGGGAGGCAGCAGUGGGGAAUAUUGGACGAUGAGCGAAAGCCUGAUCCAGCAAUGCCGCGUGAGUGAUGAAGGCCUUAGGGUUGUAAAGCUCUUUUACCCGGGAUGAUAAUGACAGUACCGGGAGAAUAAGCUCCGGCUAACUACGUG
rnacentral:rRNA from 1 species